UCAGCCGGUCAUAGGGCGCGGGCUCCACCUGAUCCCAUUCCGAACUCAGAAGUUAAACCGCGCUCCGUUCCCAGCUGUAGUCUGGUCUUCGGCCACGCGAACCUGGGAAAGCUGGCAGCC
rnacentral:rRNA from 1 species